rnacentral:lncRNA from 1 species
AUGGCCUGCUCUCUGAAUACACAGCGAGACACGAGGUUUGGAUGCACCUUAGCACAUCUAGUGCUAAAACAGAGAUGUAGCUCCAUGGCUGAUGAGAAUUACUGUGUAGAAAUGGGCAGCUUCUUUCUUGUCCCCAGGGCAGCAGCUGUUCCGGAGGCUCCCAGUGCACAGAGUCCAGCAGCAUGGUUGAGAGCAGCUGGGUCCCCUGUGAGUCCUGGGGUUUCAGAUCAGAGGAAGGAGCUGCAGGAAAAACAGAGCCUGAAAUGGCCAGCUGAACUGCCAGGAAUGACCCAGAACAGGAAGGAAGGCUGCCCUCCAGAGCAUGCAUGAGAGACAUCUCCAGACCCCAGAUCCCGGUUCCAACCCAGUGGUAGAUGAGCAAAUGUCCAUUGCUUCAAUAUCCACUUGUUGGCACCAAACAUGAGUGGUAAGACCUUCUGCAUUAUCUGUGACUACUGGAAAUGGGCAUUGUUUGCUAGUGGGAUCUUCACUGCUCCACAAAGAGCUCCAAUUUGUAUUUAUAGAGAAUCUCUUAGAUUAAUUGCUCUAAGCUGGACUCCUCCAGACUUCGAUUCCCUCAAGGAUGUUUAAG